GGAAGCCAUAGUAAGCUUUUCUACUGUGUUAAAUUAGCAUCUUCCGUGAUAUUUAAAAACUGGAAACAAAACAAAACAUAGGUUUAGCUUAGGCUUUUAAUUAAAGGCAGAACAAUCCCUAUAUAAAUAAUCUGUAAAGUUUAAAAUUUACAAAUUCCUACUAUCUAUGUUUAGGCUACAAGAAGAGUGAACAACCACCUUCAUAUUAUUGUUCUUUCAUCUUCACUCAACUUUCUAUUCGUUCUUUGCCUUCCUCUUUCUAAGUGUUUUCCUGUUUGUUUUCUGUAUUUAUUUUAAGCAAAGUUUACUUAAGGCAAGUGCAACAUUUAAUUUUUGGAAAACAAGAAAGCAUAAUAAGCAUAUCUUAGGAAAUUAUAUUUGUCACGAAAAUGCUUAUUUAUAUUUUAGAAAAUAAAGUAUGUCAAACCUGAAAAGAACAGAAAACAAGUUUAAUGGCAGCAUAUAACAGUAAUUGCAGUUAAUCCUAAAUAUAAUUUAAAAAAAUUGAAGUUAUUAUUCACAUUUUUUGGUAAACAAAACAAUGCUUUUUGGGAGGAGGCUUCAUCAAUCAGUUUUUCAGUUUUUGUGGAAUAAUCUAUUUUUCUCAUCAGAGUGGAUACAGCAAAUCAAACUUUUGGCCCCUAGAAGUUUGUU